GGGAAACAAGAAAACGCCAAGCUCUCUUUUGAGCCCUAGAAAAAGCACAGCCCAGAAUAAUGCAUUCAUUGUUUUACAAAGGAAAAGUAUUUGAUGGUGUCUGAGGAAUACAGAGGACUGGAAUGAAAAUGAGGCUGCAAAGGAAACGGAAUGAAAAAUAGGUUUGUUUUGGUCACCCAGAAGCAAAACCUAUCGUGCACAUUGACACAAACACACCUAAAACCUAGCAGCCACCUCAUACCAUUUCCUGACACCAAAAUAAAAUAAAGAUGGAACUUCAGGGGAAGAAGACAAAGAGAAGGAGUGGAAAUGAAGCUGCCAAGGGAAACAGAACUGAUUUUGCAAAGAAGUAUUUCUGUGCUGAAAGUACAAGACAGAGCAUAGCAUACAGGGAGAAUUCCAAGCACUGCAAAAGGUAUUUUUACCUUUAUUUAUUAUUAAUAGUAACAAUAAAAAUAACUGCAGUUUAUUGAUCACUAAACCUAUAAACACCAUUGUGGUAAAAGGUUUAUAUUAUAGCAUAUUCUUAUUCUGUUUUUUUUUUUUUAUUUCUACAGAUGUGGAAACUAAUGUCCAGGGUAAUACAAAACUUACUCAAGGUCACAUAGCAAGUAAGUAGCAGAACUAAGAUUUAAAUGCUGACUCUGUUGACUUGCUCUGCAUUUCCAAGCAAAGUUUCUAAUUCCAGAAUAUCUUGCAAAUAUUUUCUUUUCUUCUGUCCUUAAGUUCUCCUCCCUUACUCUCUCCCUCCCUCCCUCACUCUCGCUCUCUCUGUCUCUUUCUUCUCUCCCUUCUCCCCUUCCUCAUCUAAGACAUUGUCCCAUGCUGGUGAGAUCAAAGAAAGAGUUUAUAUUGUGGAAUUAAUAAAGGCUCUGUCAGAUAAACUGGGUUUUCUGUG
rnacentral:lncRNA from 1 species